UAGCAAACUCCAUGGACAUCAUCAGAUCAUGGAGAUUUAUUGUCACCACACAGAACAAACGUUUCAGAAUAAACGCUUACAGAACUACGACACCUGAAGCUUCAACAACUACAAAGGGACCAGCUGUAGCAAACACGAGGAGCGGCAGCAGCAAUUUCAUGUUGGGCAGCGGUAGAGGUUGCGACCGCACUGCCUUCCGCCACGCGUCUGACCCGACUUGCCGUUGCAGUUGUAACUCCGGCCAUCGCUGCUUACACAGCCUGGGUGAUUCUGGUCGAGAGCUCCAUAACCAAGGUACGUACUCCCGCCUGCAAGCAGCCUUCUGUUGAUCUCCGAGUCCAACUCAAACGCCGAGUCUUCUUCUUCCUCCUCCACUCGGCAUCCACGGCCUCCCGUGUCGUUGCAGGUCGAGCGUGCAGCAGCGCCGGAGACGUCCCACGGCAGGACGUCGGCCAAAAGGACCGACGCACACAGCAGGAACAAGUAUGGCCGGCGCAUCUUCCUCUCCCUUGGUUUCUGGCCAUCUGCUCCUCCGAGCUCUAAAUAGCCGAAGCCGAGACGGGUGGGAUGUAGCCGUCGAGGAUUGCACAGGACGUGUAUUCCACGGCUCAGAUCCGUGGGACGAAGCCAUCCAGCUACGAUCACAGGCGACGUGUAAUUUACGGCUCAGAUUCGUGAGAUACAAAUGCACGUGAUGGGUGGGACCAUUUUUUCGUUUAAAUAAAUUUGAUUAAUUCAGAGGAUUUUUUUUUUAUCAUCUCAAAUACUUUUUUAUUUCGAUUUUCUAAAUCCUUCACGGAAGGAAAUGAGUGGAGAAAUCAAACUAAAUUUCAUCUAUCAAUAAAGAAUAAUUUUUUUAUUAAAAUUAAAUAUAAAAUAAAUCUUCUUUAGAGAACAGAUAUUAAUGAACUGAGUUUGCUUGCCAUAUAUGAGUGGUAGAAUAGAUUAGAUGAGUUUCUUUUGAGUCCGAGAAAAUUGAUAUAUUUUUAUUUAUUAUCUUUUUUCUUAUCGAUUACUUUUUCUUUUUCUCUUUCCUCCUCUAUUUUCCAAUAAAAUGUCAUAAUGUGGUCCAACAAAAACAUGUUUCUUUAAUUUUUAGAAGACACUGCGACACUAUCACGAGCUUAGUCAUGGAAACCAGCCACCUCAUCCACGUCAACCAUUGUACCAUUAUCUUCUCGUUAUCACACAAGACAAUUCUUCCUACCUCCCAUCCAUAAAUUCAUUUAAAUAUUUAAUAUAUUUUUCUACUAAUAUAAUUUAAUAUAUAUAAUUUAUUCCAUAAACAUUACCACAUCUUUGUGUCUUUUUAUAUUUUAACUCCUUUUUUUUAUCUUCAUCUUCGUCAAUAUAUUUCUUAACAAGAAUAAAAAUUUACGAUCACCAAAGAUACAAUAUCAAAUAUGAUAUUUUUCAAUAAUUAAGCGCCUUUAAAAUGGAAUAAAUAUUAUUAUUAUUAUUAUUAUUAUUGAUGAAUCAUGACAGUUGUUGAAUUGAAGUCAUGUUCUUAGAUUAACUCUAUAACACGAAUUAUGUUUGGCGUCUCAAUAUUUUCAUAUAUGUUGAUUGUAUUCUUUUGUAUCAAUAAACAAUCGUGUAAUAAUUUUAUAAAUAUUUUUAUUAGUAUAAAAAAGUUACUCAUAAGAAAAGUUAAAUUGACUAAACAUGAUGUCUUCCUUCAUAUCUAUGCAAGUUUGACCUUUUAAAAAGUGGAUAGUUAAUCUUUUUUUUCUCCUAUAAUAUAAUAACUAUAAUCAUGAUAAAAUAUAAAUCAUAUUUUUUUAAAAAAAUAUUAUUUUAUAAUUUUAAACAUAUAUAUAAUAUGAAUAAUCAAACAAAUAUUUAAGAAUAAUAAAUUUUUUUUAUUACAUGAAAUAUUUUAAUCAUAUGCGUGUGAAUUUGCUGACAAAUUUUUCCUUUUUUUAAUGUAAUUCGAAGACGAGUCCUCCGAGAAUCAUCUAUAUAAAACUAGUGUCGACGGCUUGUACGAUACGAAUCCUCUAAUAUUCAAGUUAAUUUAAGAUUUUAUGUUUAGAUAAAAAUAAAAUAAAAUAAAAUUUAGGAUCUCGAAUCAUAUUCUGAAUAAUAUUAUUUCGUCCGGUUGAUAUAUGAUCACGCGGACUCCCACAACAUGUCAUGAAUCUAUUACGAGCAGAUGAAAUCGUACAGCUCAACUUAAGCUAUAUAGAGAGAGCUCCGAGAACGGAGAGGAGAGCAACAAGUGGAAUAACACGGCAAAAUAGAACAGAAGCAGCAAACAUAGCAAGUUAGAGUGCGUUGCGCUCGAAAUCCAUCGUCUUUCAGCAACGGAAGUAGUCGCGACCGCACUCCCUUCCGCCGCCCGUCUGACCCGACUUGCCGUUGCAGUUGUAACUCCUGCCAUUGCUGCUUCCACAGACUGCGCGAUCCGGCGCGAGAGCUCCAUUAACAAUGUACCGAUUCCCGCCUGCAAGCAGCCUUCUGUUGAUAUCCGAGUCCAGCUCAAACUCCACGUCUUCUUCUUCCUCCUCCACUCGGCAUCCACGGCCUUGCGUCUCGUUGCAGGUCGAGCGUGCAGCAGCGCCGGAGACGUCCCACGGCAGGACGUCGGCCAAAAGGACAGAUGCACACAGCAGGAAGAAGAAUGAUCUGCGCAUCUUCCUCUCCUUCGUUUUUGUACUUGUUUGAGCUCUCCUAAAUGGAUGAA
rnacentral:lncRNA from 1 species